GACGAACGCUGGCGGCGUGCUUAACACAUGCAAGUCGAACGAAGUGGCGAACGGGUGAGUAAUACGUGAGUAACCUGCCCUCCUUUUUGGGAUAAGCCUUGGAAACGGGGUCUAAUACCGGAUAAAGGGGGAUGGGCGCGAGGCGUAUCAGCUUGUUGGUGGGGGGAUGGCCUACCAAGGCGGUGACGGGUAGCCGGCAUGAGAGGGUGACCGGCCACAUUGGGACUGAGAUACGGCCCAGACUCCUACGGGAGGCAGCAGUGGGGAAUAUGGCACAAGGGGCGAAAGCCUGAUGCAGCGACGCCGCGUGGGGGAUGAAGGCUUUCGGGUUGUAAAGCACUUUAAGUUGGGAGGCGUUACCAACAGAAUAAGCACCGGCUAACUUCGUGCCAGCAGCCGCGGUAAUUC
rnacentral:rRNA from 1 species